rnacentral:lncRNA from 1 species
GACGUACGACGUACUCGUGACGAAAGAAGGCAUAAUGCCGAGUUAUCGGAGGUGCGAUCAUUAAGAGCGACUCGUUCUUGGAAUCGCAAUGCUGAUCACUCUGAUCACUUUCAUUCGUCAGCUAGGAGCUUAAGAAGAUCAGCAAUGCCGGUUCGCAAUGGGUUAAUCUCAGAAAGUCAAUCAGAUGAUGACGAUGAUGAUGAUGAAGGAAUUUUUACUAAAAUUGAGAGACCUAGACGACAAAGGGAAUCUCGAAUGAUGGUAUCACCUAGAGAGCCAAUUCCUUCUACCUCCAGGAACCGCACUAACAGCACUGAAAGAUCCCUCCAAGACUCACAAGAAGGCAUUAGAAGAAGCACUCGGCAACGCAAACUGAAGUAUGAAAAUUACAGUGAUAGCUGGAUUGUUGGAGCUCAAACUCUGCGAGGUUAUCCCAUGUACAAUACACGGGGCGAAAACUACCCUCAAGAUCUAUCAGAACAAGCGUCAAGAAGUCCAAAACAGCCCGAUGAAACCGAAGAUGGUGAAACAGAAGAUAAUGAGGAAGUUGAGGAGGAAAAAAGACAAGUUCUUGAGCGUCCAAGACGUAACUUGCGGAAAGUGAAAGAGGGAGAUGACAGUAGUGAUAAACUGAAGAAUGGUACCGAGGAGAAUAACAAGGAAGAAACUGCCAAUGGGACGGGAAUAUUUGAUCAAGACAUGUAUUCUCGGGUGAAAUCCAGGCGUCCUCGCCAAGCUACUAUUUACACUGUCCCCACAAGAUCAUCUCUUAGACAGCGUAAUAUCCAACAGCAAGAUGCUGGUAGUUCUGGCGAUGAACCGUCUAGUUCAUCUGAUGAAGAGAAGAAGAGGAGGUAGAAACUAAGAGAGUCUCAAGACGAGUGAGUCGACCAAUGCGCGAAACUCGAAGUGUAGAUGUCGUCAUGACUGAACGCAGUUCUGGAAUCAAAUAUCAUUUAAGGAAAACAAAGCCAGUCGUUAAACCAUUCCAACUAC